rnacentral:rRNA from 1 species
UACGUAGGGUGCAAGCGUUAUCCGGAAUUAUUGGGCGUAAAGAGCUCGUAGGCGGUUUGUCGCGUCUGCUGUGAAAACUGGAGGCUCAACCUCCAGCCUGCAGUGGGUACGGGCAGACUAGAGUGCGGUAGGGGAGAUUGGAAUUCCUGGUGUAGCGGUGGAAUGCGCAGAUAUCAGGAGGAACACCGAUGGCGAAGGCAGAUCUCUGGGCAGUAACUGACGCUGAGGCGCGAAAGCGUGGGGAGCAAACAGG